CCUACGGGUGGCAGCAGUGGGGGAUAUUGCACAAUGGGGGGAACCCUGAUGCAGCGACGCCGCGUGUGGGAAGACGGUCCUCUGGAUUGUAAACCACUGUCCCCAGGGACGAAAAUGACGGUACCUGGGGAGGAAGCUCCGGCUAACUACGUGCCAGCAGCCGCGGUAAUACGUAGGGAGCGAGCGUUGUCCGGAAUUACUGGGUGUAAAGGGAGCGUAGGCGGGGAUGCAAGUUGGGUGUCAAAACUACCGGCUCAACUGGUAGUCGCACUCAAAACUGCAGCUCGUGAGUGAAGUAGAGGCAGGCGGAAGUCCUGGGGUAGCGGUGAAAUGCGUAGAGAUUAGGAGGAACACCAGUGGCGAAGGCGGCCUGCUGGGCUUUUACUGACGCGGAGGCUCGAAAGUGUGGGGAGCAAACAGGAUUAGAUAACCGAGUAGUC
rnacentral:rRNA from 1 species